AUUGAACGCUGGCGGCAGGCUUAACACAUGCAAGUCGAGCGGAGAUGAGGUGCUUGCACCUUAUCUUAGCGGCGGACGGGUGAGUAAUGCUUAGGAAUCUGCCUAUUAGUGGGGGACAACAUUCCGAAAGGAGUGCUAAUACCGCAUACGUCCUACGGGAGAAAGCAGGGGAUCUUCGGACCUUGCGCUAAUAGAUGAGCCUAAGUCGGAUUAGCUAGUUGGUGGGGUAGAGGCCUACCAAGGCGACGAUCUGUAGCGGGUCUGAGAGGAUGAUCCGCGACACUGGGACUGGGACACGGCCCAGACUCCUACGGGGGGCAGCAGUGGGGAAUAUUGGACAAUGGGGGGAACCCUGAUCCAGCCAUGCCGCGUGUGUGAAGAAGGCCUUAUGGUUGUAAAGCACUUUAAGCGAGGAGGAGGCUACUGAGACUAAUACUCUUGGAUAGUGGACGUUACUCGCAGAAUAAGCACCGGCUAACUCUGUGCCAGCAGCCGCCGUAACAC
rnacentral:rRNA from 1 species